UGGGGAAUCUUGGACAAUGGGCGAAAGCCUGAUCCAGCCAUGCCGCGUGUGUGAAGAAGGUCUUCGGAUUGUAAAGCACUUUAAGUUGGGAGGAAGGGCAGUUACCUAAUACGUGAUUGUUUUGACGUUACCGACAGAAUAAGCACCGGCUAACUCUGUGCCAGCAGCCGCGGUAAUACAGAGGGUGCAAGCGUUAAUCGGAAUUACUGGGCGUAAAGCGCGCGUAGGUGGUUAGUUAAGUUGGAUGUGAAAUCCCCGGGCUCAACCUGGGAACUGCAUUCAAAACUGACUGACUAGAGUAUGGUAGAGGGUGGUGGAAUUUCCUGUGUAGCGGUGAAAUGCGUAGAUAUAGGAAGGAACACCAGUGGCGAAGGCGACCACCUGGACUGAUACUGACACUGAGGUGCGAAAGCGUGGGGAGCAAACAGGAUUAGAUACCCUUGUAGUCCCUGAGCGGGCUGGCAAGGCGCAU
rnacentral:rRNA from 1 species